rnacentral:piRNA from 1 species
UAUUCAUGGUGCAAAACUGGU